rnacentral:rRNA from 1 species
AGUGAACGCCGGCGGCGUGCUUAACACAUGCAAGUCGAACGAGAACGGAAUAUAGCUUGCUAUAUUUGUCAGCUAAGUGGCGCACGGGUGAGUAAUGUAUAGAUAACCUGCCCUUAAGAAAGGAAUAACAGUUGGAAACGACUGCUAAUGCCCUAUAUGCCUUUAAUACGUAAGUAUGCAAGGGAAACGCUUUAGUGCUUAAGGAUGGGUCUGUAUGGUAUCAGCUUGUUGGUGAGGUAAUGGCUCACCAAGGCUAUGACGCCUAACUGGUUUGAGAGGAUGAUCAGGCACACUGGAACUGAGACACGGUCCAGACUCCUACGGGAGGCAGCAGUGGGGAAUAUUGCACAAUGGACGAAAGUCUGAUGAAGCAACGCCGCGUGGAGGAUGACACAUUUCGGUGCGUAAACUCCUUUUAUAUAGGAAGAUAAUGACGGUACUAUAUGAAUAAGCACCGGCUAACUCCGUGCCAGCAGCCGCGGUAA